rnacentral:rRNA from 1 species
UGGGGAAUAUUGCACAAUGGGGGAAACCCUGAUGCAGCGACGCCGCGUGAAGGAAGAAGUAUCUCGGUAUGUAAACUUCUAUCAGCAGGGAAGAAAAUGACGGUACCUGACUAAGAAGCCCCGGCUAACUACGUGCCAGCAGCCGCGGUAAUACGUAGGGGGCAAGCGUUAUCCGGAUUUACUGGGUGUAAAGGGAGCGUAGACGGCUGUGCAAGUCUGAUGUGAAAGGCAGGGGCUCAACUCCUGGACUGCAUUGGGAAAUCUGUGUAGCUUGAGUGCCGGAGAGGUAAGCGGAAUUCCUAGUGUAGCGGUGAAAUGCGUAGAUAUUGGGAGGAACACCAGUGGCGAAGGCGGCCUACUGGGCACCAACUGACGCUGAGGCUCGAAAGUAUGGGUAGCAAACAGGAUUAGAUACCC